rnacentral:rRNA from 1 species
AGCUAGUUGGUGAGGUAACGGCCCACCAAGGCGACGAUCGGUAGCCGGACUGAGAGGUUGAACGGCCACAUUGGGACUGAGACACGGCCCAGACUCCUACGGGAGGCAGCAGUGGGGAAUAUUGCACAAUGGGGGAAACCCUGAUGCAGCGACGCCGCGUGGAGGAAGAAGGUCUUCGGAUUGUAAACUCCUGUUGUUGAGGAAGAUAAUGACGGUACUCAACAAGGAAGUGACGGCUAACUACGUGCCAGCAGCCGCGGUAAAACGUAGGUCACAAGCGUUGUCCGGAAUUACUGGGUGUAAAGGGAGCGCAGGCGGGAAGACAAGUUGGAAGUGAAAUCCAUGGGCUCAACCCAUGAACUGCUUUCAAAACUGUUUUUCUUGAGUAGUGCAGAGGUAGGCGGAAUUCCCGGUGUAGCGGUGGAAUGCGUAGAUAUCGGGAGGAACACCAGUGGCGAAGGCGGCCUACUGGGCACCAACUGACGCUGAGGCUCGAAAGUGUGGGUAGCAAACAGGAUUAGAUACCCUGGUAGUCCACACUGUAAACGAUGAUUACUAGGUGUUGGAGGAUUGACCCCUUCAGUGCCGCAGUUAACACAAUAAGUAAUCCACCUGGGGAGUACGACCGCAAGGUUGAAACUCAAAGGAAUUGACGGGGGCCCGCACAAGCAGUGGAGUAUGUGGUUUAAUUCGACGCAACGCGAAGAACCUUACCAAGUCUUGACAUCCUGCGACGCACAUAGAAAUAUGUGUUUCCUUCGGGACGCAGAGACAGGUGGUGCAUGGUUGUCGUCAGCUCGUGUCGUGAGAUGUUGGGUUAAGUCCCGCAACGAGCGCAACCCUUAUGGUCAGUUACUACGCAAGAGGACUCUGGCCAGACUGCCGUUGACAAAACGGAGGAAGGUGGGGAUGACGUCAAAUCAUCAUGCCCUUUAUGACUUGGGCUACACACGUACUACAAUGGCGUUAAACAAAGAGAAGCAAGACCGCGAGGUGGAGCAAAACUCAGAAACAACGUCCCAGUUCGGACUGCAGGCUGCAACUCGCCUGCACGAAGUCGGAAUUGCUAGUAAUCGCAGAUCAGCAUGCUGCGGUGAAUACGUUCCCGGGCCUUGUACACACCGCCCGUCACACCAUGAGAGCCGGGGGGACCCGAAGUCGGUAGUCUAACCGCAAGGAGGACGCCGCCGAAGGUAAAACUGGUGAUUGGGGUGAAGUCGUAACAAGGUAGCCGUAGGAGAACCUGCGGCUG